rnacentral:rRNA from 1 species
AAUCAACGCUGGCGGCGUGCCUAACACAUGCAAGUCGAACGCGAAAAGGGCUUCGGCCCCUAGUAGAGUGGCGAACGGGUGAGUAACGCGUGGGUGACCUACCUUCGAGUGGGGGAUAACGUCCCGAAAGGGACGCUAAUACCGCAUGACAUCCUGUCCUUGAACGGAUGGAGAUCAAAGCCGGGGAUCGCAAGACCUGGCGCUUGAAGAGGGGCCCGCGUCCGAUUAGCUAGUUGGUGGGGUAAUGGCU